GAUGAACGCUGGCGGCGUGCUUAACACAUGCAAGUCGAACGAAGCACUUUAUUUGAUUUCCUUCGGGACUGAUUAUUUUGUGACUGAGUGGCGGACGGGUGAGUAACGCGUGGGUAACCUGCCUUGUACAGGGGGAUCACAGUUUGAAACGGCUGCUAAUACCGCAUAAGCGCACAGCAUCGCAUGAUGCAGUGUGAAAAACUCCGGUGGUAUAAGAUGGACCCGCGUUGGAUUAGCUAGUUGGUGAGGUAACGGCCCACCAAGGCGACGAUCCAUAGCCGAGCAGAGAGGGUGACCGGCGACAUUGGGACUGAGACACGGCCCAAACUCCUACGGGAGGCAGCAGUGGGGAAUAUUGCAAAAUGGGCGAAAGCCUGAUGCAGCGACGCCGCGUGAGCGAAGAAGUAUUGCGGUAUGUAAAGCUCUAUCAGCAGGGAAGAUAAUGACGGUACCUGACGAAGAAGCACCGGCUAAAUACGUG
rnacentral:rRNA from 1 species